CGCACGGGUGAGUAACACGUGAGUGACCUGCCUUUUAGACUGGAACAACUUACCGAAAGGUGAGCUAAUGCCGGAUGAGUUAUAUAAGUGCAUGUUUAUAUAGGAAAAAGUUUGGGGGAGACCUGACGCUGAAAGAUGGACUCGCGUCCCAUUAGCUAGUUGGUAGGGUAAUGGCCUACCAAGGCGACGAUGGGUAGCCGGCCUGAGAGGGUGGCCGGCCACACUGGGACUGAGACACGGCCCAGACUCCUACGGAAGGCAGCAG
rnacentral:rRNA from 1 species